GCUUAUGUCAUUACGGUGGUGUAACUGCAGCACAUGGACCUUGCACUUUUUACUAAUCAUAAAUCUAAACAUGGGUCACAAAGAAAAAAUAUCUCCCUGAUUUCUUUGAUCAUUCUGCCAACCCUGAGCCGAGCUAGUCAUUGGUUUUAUCCACACAGUAUCACUGAAAAAAACCUCCCUGUUUAACGAGGUUGAUGUAGCAUCCCCCUCAUCGCUCUCUCUCUCUUCCCUUUCUGUUUCUCCUCCUUCACUUUCAUGACAAACUUGUUCAAGUUCCCCUGCAUUACUGCAGACAUCCAAACACUGCAAUCCUCACUACCAGGCAACAGAGAGCAAGAGAGGGGAGGGUGUGUAAGAGAGAGUGAAGCGGGACUAUUACUGUACUUGUCUCUUACCGAGGCUUUUCAUCACGAAUAAUGGGGGUGACGAGUCGGGGCAUACACAAGGGAGAGACGGGGUGCUUGUGAGCGUGAGAGGAAAAAAAGGGGAGGCGGGGAGGGGCAUCGUGCAAAGUGCGGGAUGGCUGCAGAUGUGAAAGCAUCUGAGGCGCGCAGUGAGAGGAGAUAAACCGAUAUUUUAAUUCACAAAGGUGGCCGAUGUAGUAGAGGGGGAAGAAGAGGCAGUUCCACGUGGUGGCGAACCAGGUGCCUGGUGGGCAGGAAAUCAUCAAUGCCAAAUGGGAACAUCUGGGCCUGGUGUUUCCAGACUAUGAAACCGUUGCUGGCAUGCCACUUGAUUCUUUCUCUCCUGCCUGGCGUCUGAGUUUCUGCGUGUACUUACUUUCUUUUUAGUUCUUUCAUGCUGUUUUCCACCACCUUGUAGCACUUUCACACUAUUUCCACUCCCAUGCACAUCCUGCUUCACUGAUGCCUACUUUUACACCUGAUUUGAGCAAAUUAUUUUGAUAAAAUGUCACAUAAAGUGCUUUUUGUCCCAGCCUUCAGAGGUUGCCAGGUUGUGCCUUUUUUUCUCUCCCUAAGCAUCAUGUGGAUACAGUAUAUUAUCUUUUGCAGCAAAUCUGAGCGAGUAGCUUGAGAGACUGACUCCAGAUCAUACCAGUCUUGUCAUCAUUUUCCGGGUAAAAAUAGCUGCUUUCAAACUUAAACUGAACUUGAAGGUAAUCAAUCCGAGUUAGAAAUGUGGCGAUCAAGUGUGACAGGCGGCAGUGAAACAGAGGGCAUAUGAGGGCAGACGUGAUAUCCAAUCCAAGAUGACCUCUUCUCCACUGCAUGAGCUGCAACGGCAUGUGUGUUUGCCCUAGCGUGCAAAGACACACACCGCAACACUUAACUUUUCUAUUUCUCUUGUCAAAACCUGAUGGCCUCCAUACUUCUUCACUAAUGUGAGAACUGAAGCGAAGUGUUGGCGUACAGUUUUCGGCCCCACUCUCACCCACUCUGUGCUUCAAAACCAAUUCUCUUACCAAGAUCAUUUUGUUCUCUCGAAUCACUGAACUUACAAACUUUGUGUCCUCUACGAAGUUCAGACACAGCUGCAUGAUCAUGGAUAUGACACACAGUGUUUUACAAAAAUAUGACAGUUAAAUGCAACAUUCGCGAUGCUUUAUGGCAGCGCUUAACCUGUUAAAGCCAGAACAAUUAAAUAAUUGCCAUAAAAUUCAAAUUUGUUGAAGAUAGGAGGGGUUAUUGAACCUUUAAAAAAAUAAAAUAAAAAUGUAUUAAUAUUAAUUUACAUGUAUGAGUUUUAAUUGUAUCAUAUUCGCUACAUUUGACUUUUUUUUAAAUGUAUUGCUUAAAACAGAAAAAAAACCUAAUGUAUCAAAUAUGACACACUGGGCAUUAAGGAGGUUAUUUUAGACAGAUAAGCUCUCACUCGAUGUGUGCUGAUAAUUAACGUCUUUCUAAAACUAACAAUAACAAGAGGGCUUAAAGAGCACAAUUCCCCCCGAUGAUGUUUUUAUUCAUGCUGACAUCAGCCUGUUAUGGUGUGAUUGUGAUGUUAUAUGGCGUCAAAUUGAAAAACUAAAAAGUGUAUUGUACAGCCCUCUCCAUGCCCUUCCAUAUGAUAUAUUACUCAAUAUGGUUUCUUGAAUUUUUUUAAAGGUCAACUUUGACCUUGAAAGUCAAAAACCACAAUCAAGGUCAAACGCUUAGCCAACUUAUAUACUAACGUCCCCCGAGGCCUAUAAUAUUGUUGUGACGUUCAAAGACAAUCAGUAAAAAAUUAUGGGUAACAUAAAGUUUUUACUGAUUUUCACAUUUGUUGCGACCUUGACCCUUCACCACACUUAAGUCAGCUGGAGCCGUGGAUGCUGGACUGCUAACAAACAGACAAACAAACAGAACAUACUCCCUCCCUUUAUCACUGGCACACUCCUAAAAUCAUUUUAGGCUGUCUUUUUGACCGUGUAGCUAAACCCGCACCACCUAGAGCAAAACUACAUGACCGCAACUCUGCAAUCGGUUUAGUGAGAGUGCAACACAAUAAACAGCACAACCUCAUAUCAGCUCUACUUCAUAACAGCUGCAUAAUAGGCAUCAUGCAUCUUCGGUCGCUUCCUACCUUCCAAAAUGUUGAAAAUGAGCGAUCUCCCUAAUGGUGUUUGCAGUGGUAAUGAUGUGCUGCGGGGAGCCUUUUGCCAAUUCAUCACUGCACUGUAUGCUGUUGACUGGAAUACUGAAUGCACUUCAAAGGGCCUCGGUGAGGGAAGAAUAAAUCUAACUUGAUUUGAUUACUCUGUGGAAAUGAUUGUCUGACGGCAUCAACAGGACACUCAGCUCUCAUAAUAUUGUAGCUGUGCUGUAUCAGUUGUUGCCGUAUACGCGCCACUGUCUGCUGUUCUGUGAAUGUGAUCUGUGUAAUAAUAAAAAACAAAAAACAAAAAAACAAAUAAAACCACCUUUUCUAAUAUAACCUGCAUAUUUUACAAAAGAGCUGUGUAAGGGGUCAUCCAUCACAGCCAAUGAGGCAAUUCACUGCUACUGGAAGAGCUGACUCUGACCUUUCCAGGUGGUCUCAUCAUACCAUAGAUUAACUCCCCUGAUGACUAUCGCCUCUUAUGCUAAUGCCCCGGCUUCCCCGGGCUACCUAUACUGACUGCACGAGAGAUUCACGUUCUGUUUAUCUAUCGCAAACGUCAAAAAGAGAUGGAGUUAAGAUGCAGCGCUGUUCGAGGAACCUGAACAAUGUUCCCUGCUGCUGCGAAAGCAACUGACGGGUCUGACAGCACAGAGGCACAAAAAAAACUAAAGAUGAUUCGAGAUCGUUGUCAUUGUCACUGCAGUGAAGUGAUGAAUCAGCAGUGGCCAAAAAAAGAAACAGGCACACAUGGAUGUUUAUCAAAGUCUUGGGCACAGGGGUGAGAAUUAAGUUUCUCUAUUCUGAGCUCUGAGGCCUCUUUGUCUUCUUCUGAAGGUCAUCUCUUUGUUGGUGCUGCCCAUUUUGUGUCCUUCCAGGGCCUCCGUCCCGCAUCCUGUGGCUCUGACCACAUCUCUGGACUACACCGCAGUUUAAUCUCCCAAAUGUGAUAAUGGGCCAAGCCAAUCAGCCCCCAGGCAGACUCUUGGGCCCAGCUAAGCAUUAUCAGCUCUGGCACACUUAGUGAAGUGACAACAUUAGUGAUAUUAUACAGCCUGUACUCCAGGCUGUGGCAGUUACCACAAUACUUAAAUACAGUGUUCUGUCUCUUAAAUAUAAUAUUCUGUCUCUUAUUAAAUAAAAAUGUGUCAUACAAUAAAAUACUAAUUAAAGCCCCUGUAAUUAAAUGCAGAGCUGUGAGUAUAUCUUCCCAGACUAAUGACUUAAAAGGGACUCUAUCAACCCUGAAUGCCAGUAACGAACAUAUCGACUGAACUCAUCAGUGUGCUGGAUCUGAGUCGCUGGAGUGGACCGGCAAAAUCGAAGGGCCUCUCUGCUAAUGACAUUUGAAGCUAUUAUGACCAUAGAUGAAAUACUCAGACCGAGUCUUCUUAAAGUGUUAAAUGAUUAACUCAAAGCUCUUCACCUUUUUAAUUCAUAAUCUAAUGUCAACCGUCAAGGUGAGUCUGUCACACUAAGCUGUCUAUAGCCCAGGAACAGUGCAUUUCUGACAUUUUAAUAAUUAAUCUCAGCCUUCGCGUGCACUGGAUCGCAAAUUAGUUUUAGUUUUAGAUUACUGUGAUAGAAAAAUUAAACCCUGGAUGAAAAUGUCUACAUUUGUUCAACCCAUUCUGUGUCCAAAUGUACUUCAUUGGAUGCUAACGGACAUCUGCAAAAUUGCUGGAGACAAGAAGAAAGUGUUUCUAGGGGCAGCUUGUGAUCUGCUCUGACAGCUGUGUAUGGCUUCUUCUUGUUGCUUCCUCAGAUACAGUCAUCCCUACUGCUCAGUAGAAUGAAAGCACGCUAGAAUCAUAGGAUU